rnacentral:rRNA from 1 species
GCGCAGCUUACACAUGCAGUCGAGCGGUAACAGGGGGUGCUUGCACCCCGCUGACGAGCGGCGGACGGGUGAGUAAUGCAUAGGAAUCUGCCCAGUAGUGGGGGAUAGCCCGGGGAAACCCGGAUUAAUACCGCAUACGCCCUUUGGGGGAAAGCAGGGGAUCUUCGGACCUUGCGCUAUUGGAUGAGCCUAUGUCGGAUUAGCUAGUUGGUGGGGUAAAGGCCUACCAAGGCGACGAUCCGUAGCUGGUCUGAGAGGAUGAUCAGCCACAUCGGGACUGAGACACGGCCCGAACUCCUACGGGAGGCAGCAGUGGGGAAUAUUGGACAAUGGGGGCAACCCUGAUCCAGCCAUGCCGCGUGUGUGAAGAAGGCUUUCGGGUUGUAAAGCACUUUCAGUGAGGAGGAAAACCUUCUGGUUAAUACCCAUGAGGCUUGACGUUACUCACAGAAGAAGCACCGGCUAACUCCGUGCCAGCAGCCGCGGUAAUACGGAGGGUGCAAGCGUUAAUCGGAAUUACUGGGCGUAAAGCGCGCGUAGGUGGUUUGAUAAGCGAGAUGUGAAAGCCCCGGGCUUAACCUGGGAACGGCAUUUCGAACUGUCAGGCUAGAGUGUGGUAGAGGGUAGUGGAAUUUCCUGUGUAGCGGUGA